rnacentral:lncRNA from 1 species
UUAUAAUUUAAGGGAUAUUUGGUUCAUAAUUAGAAAAGAAAUGAGAAAUUUCAUUAGAUUAUAUUGGAGUAAAAAAUGGAAUAACGAAUAAUCUAAAACUAUUUGGUUAAUUAUUAAAAUAAAAAUCAGGAUGAACAUAUAUAUGAAACUUGGAGAGAGAAUUUUAGUUAAGAGAGAGAAGAGUAAUGAAGUGAGAGAAGAGGAAAGUGUUUAUGAAAGAGAGUUUUGAGUAAUUUACUCUAAAACUAGUGCAGUGACUCGCGCAUUACGGCAGAUAGAUACUGUUAAAGUGAAAAUUUGUAAAGAAUAAAAUAUCAGUUUAGCAAAAAAAAUAAUAAAUAUAGUCUACAUUAUUGACAAAUAUUUUUUAAAAAUAAAACUAUAAUGAAGAAGAAUUUAAUCAUUUCAACAAAAUUAUUCAAUAUUGUUCAAGAGAAGUCGCAUAUCAUACAAAUAGAUAAUUAAAAUUAUUUUUCCAACACAAUAAUCAAGUGAAGAAAAGAAAGAAAAUG